UACGUAGGGCGCAAGCGUUGUCCGGAAUUAUUGGGCGUAAAGAGCUCGUAGGCGGCCAGUUGCGUCUGCUGUGAAAUCCCGGGGCUCAACCCCGGGCGUGCAGUGGAUACGGGCUGGCUAGAGGCAGGCAGGGGAGAACGGAAUUCCCGGUGUAGCGGUGAAAUGCGCAGAUAUCGGGAGGAACACCGGUGGCGAAGGCGGUUCUCUGGGCCGAUACUGACACUGAGGAGCGAAAGCGUGGGGAGCGAACAGG
rnacentral:rRNA from 1 species